rnacentral:rRNA from 1 species
CCACGUUCUCUCCGGCGACGAAAAAUCCUGGAGAUCACGCCUGGCCCAAUCACUCCUCCCCGUUCCGCCCCCUAUCCUCCUGCCCGCGCUCGCCUUGGCCCACCCACCCCCUUAUCCUCUUCCUCGCCACUAAACCGCCAAAUCCGUCUCAGUUCAGCACGCUCGCCCACUCCAACUCUACCACAGCUGCUAUCACCUCACUCACUGGCGAGGGUUCGGCCAUGGAAGAACUCCUGCUGCGCCACGGCCGCCUCUCGAGGCCGGUGGCAACCCGCCGCCUCCGCGUCGUCGCCGUCGCGCUAAGGUCCAGACCGAGCAGCAGCCUCGCCGUCCCUGGGUUUCCGCCCGCGACGGCGCCGGCCCCGGCGCCUGCCCUGGAGCACGUGCUACCGUCGCCGCAUGUGGCCGCAGACGCCGCAGCUGUCCUGCUCGAGGCGGGCGUGCGCCCGGAGGAUCUCCGGCGCGCGGCGGGGAUGUGCCCCGAGCUGAUGUCCGUCCCCGUCGAGACCAUCACGGCCGCGCUGCGGUUCCUGACCGACGAGGCCGGAGUGCCCGCCGAGGAGCUGCCGCGCGUGCUGAGGCGACGCCCACGCCUGCUCGUGUCCUCCGCCGCCGCGCGGCUCCGGCCGACGCUCUACUUCCUCCGGGCGCUUGGCGUGCCCGACCUCCACCGCCGUGCCGACCUGCUCUCCUUCUCCGUGGAGGACAAGCUGCUCCCGCGGAUCGAGUUCCUCGAGUCGCUGGGCCUCCCCUCCCGCGCCGCGCGCUCCAUGGCACGCCGCUUCCCGGCGCUAUUCUACUACGGCAUUGACGGCAACAUGCGGCCCAAGGCUGAGUACCUUCUGGGCGUCAUGGGCCGCGACGCCGACGAGCUCUUCGACUUCCCAGAGUACUUCUCCUACGCGCUCGACACGCGCAUCGCGACGCGCCACGAGGCCUGCGCCGCGCGCGGCGUGAGGAUGCCGCUGCCCGCCAUGCUCCGGCCUGGGGAGCGCAAGUUCGAGGACUGCCUCGCGGGCUGCGUCGGCUCCACGCCGCCACGGCGGCGGUCUCCCCUUUGGCACGCCUAUUGGGUGGAUGGCGACGGCGCCGGCGUCAGCGCGGUGGUAGAGAAGGCCAGACGUGACGACGCGAUCGUGGCAUCAUACCGCCAUGUGCAUUAUUAGUAAUACAAUAGUGGGCGAUCUUGGAUGUUGUAAGCUGUGCAUACAUGUGAUCUGUAAGUAUGAUACCAUCUGGUUGGACUCUCUUGUUAAUCAAUCAAUCAUCAAGGCAUGGCCUUAUAGUUCAAAACUUUUUUUGAUAGUAGAUGGCUUCGCUUGUUGUGUGGGACAUCAGAAUACAUGACCAGGUUUGUUCCAAGUGGCUGAUCAGCUCG